CCCUGAGUCAUUUUUAAUGAUCAAAUCUAUGAAUCUAUUUAUUAAGGUCAUUGCCAAAAACGGUAUUAGCAGCUAA
rnacentral:tRNA from 1 species